AUUGAACGCUGGCGGCAUGCCUUACACAUGCAAGUCGAACGGUAACGGGCCUUCGGGUGCCGACGAGUGGCGAACGGGUGAGUAAUACAUCGGAACGUGCCCGAUCGUGGGGGAUAACGAGGCGAAAGCUUUGCUAAUACCGCAUACGAUCUACGGAUGAAAGCAGGGGACCGCAAGGCCUUGCGCGGACGGAGCGGCCGAUGGCAGAUUAGGUAGUUGGUGGGAUAAAAGCUUACCAAGCCGACGAUCUGUAGCUGGUAUGAGAGGAUGAUCAGACACACUGGGACUGAGACACGGCCCAGACUCCUACGGGAGGCAGCAGUGGGGAAUUUUGGACAAUGGGCGCAAGCCUGAUCCAGCCAUGCCGCGUGCAGGAUGAAGGCCUUCGGGUUGUAAACUGCUUUUGUACGGAACGAAAAGCCUUCUUUUAAUACAGGAGGGUCAUGACGGUACCGGAAGAAUAAGCACCGGCUAACUACGUG
rnacentral:rRNA from 1 species